UUUUUUUUUUUUUUUUUUGGCUUCUUCAGACUUCUUGGCUCCUGCAGGCCAUCUGGACGUAUUUGUGCAGAUCACAGGGGUUGUAAUGGCUCAGCUUCGGCUCAGAGGCGUGACACCUCGACCUGUGACCCAGGGCCCAGCAGCAGCCUCUGGCGGCCUGGCAGUCAUCGGAAAUCGGCCCAACUUCCUCUUUGUCCACAUGGGGAGCAGUCCCAGUCGCCCCUCCUGCUCCCAGCCAGGGAGUAUCAUCGCAGACCUGGUCAUUCUAAAACCCUGGAAAAUCCUAACUUGAAAAUGUUAGUCAGGCCAGCCACGCAGGCGCCGGGGCUCACGCCUAUAAUCCCAGCACUUUGGGAGGCCGAGGCGGGUGGAUCACCUGAGGUGAGGAGUUGGAGACCAGCCUGGCCAACAUGAUGAAACUCCAUCUCUCCUAAAAAUACAAAAAAUUAGCCAGGCAUUGUGGCGCCCACCUGUCAUCCCAGCUACUCGGGAGGCUGAGGCAGGAGAAUCGCCUGAACCCCAGAGGCGGAGGUUGAAGUGCGCCGAGAUGGCGCCACUGCACUCCAGCCUGAGCAACUCCGUCUCAAACAAACAAACAAACAAACAAACAAAUAACGUCAAUCAACGGACAACAGACACCAACACCAGUGUUGGACCAUCUGACAGGAUGACAAAGAUGGUGAAGUGGCCACCGUAAACAUGCUUCAAGGAGCAACCCCUGCUUCAUGCAAAUGAAAAAAUAUGAAGUCUCAGCAAAGGAGUAGAAAAUAUAAAGAAUAACCAAGUGGAAAGUUUAGGCCCGAGAAAUACAAAACCAAAGGAAGGAACUUUAAUGAAUGGGUAGCAGCAGAAUGGAAGAAAAUAGAAGACUCCGCAAAUUUGAAGACAGAACAAUAGAAAUUACCCGGAGAGAAAAUAAACUAAAAAAACAAAACAAAACAACAACAACAAAAAAACAGACCGGGCGCGGUGGCUCACGCCUGUAAUCCCAGCACUUUGAGAGGCCGAGGUGGGUGGAUUGCGAGGUCAGGAGAUCGAGACCAUCCUGGCUAACACAGUGAAACCCCGUCUCUACUAAAAAUACAAAACUACAAAAAAUUAGCCGGGCGUGCUGGCCGGCCCCUGUAGUCCCAGCUACUCGGGAAUGGCGUGAACCCGGGAGGCGGAGCUUGCAGUGAGCCGAGAUCGUACUGCUGC
rnacentral:lncRNA from 1 species